rnacentral:rRNA from 1 species
GAUGAACGCUGGCGGCGUGCCUAACACAUGCAAGUCGAACGGAGCUGCUUUGAUGAAGUUUUCGGAUGGAUUUAAAACAGCUUAGUGGCGGACGGGUGAGUAACGCGUGGGUAACCUGCCUCACACUGGGGGAUAACAGUUAGAAAUAGCUGCUAAUACCGCAUAAGCGCACAGUUCCGCAUGGAACAGUGUGAAAAACUCCGGUGGUGUGAGAUGGACCCGCGUCUGAUUAGCCAGUUGGCGGGGUAACGGCCCACCAAAGCGACGAUCAGUAGCCGGCCUGAGAGGGGAAACGGCCACAUUGGGACAGAGACACGGCCCAAACGCCUACGGGAGGCAGCAGUGGGGAAUAUUGCACAAUGGGGGAAACCCUGAUGCAGCGACGCCGCGUGAGUGAAGAAGUAUUUCGGUAUGUAAAGCUCUAUCAGCAGGGAAGAAAGCGACGGUACCUGAAUAAGAAGCCCCGGCUAACUACGUGCCAGCCGCCGCCGUAACAC